UGAGCUCACCUUAGGACACCCGCGUUAUCUUUUAACGGAUGUGCCGCCCCAGCCAAACUCCCCACCUGACAAUGUCUUCCGCCUAGAUCGCGCCCCGAAAGGGCUUAUGGCCAGAAAGUGGGGCUUUGGGCCCCAGCUCUACUCAACGGAAUAAGUAAAAUAACAUUAAAAGUAGUGGUAUUUCACCGGCGCUUGCGCUCCCACUUAUUCUACACCUCUUAAGUCAUUUCACAAUGUCGGACUAGAGUCAAGCUCAACAGGGUCUUCUUUCCCCGCGGAUUAUUCCAAGCCCGUUCCCUUGGCUGUGGUUUCGCUAGAUGGUGAGUAGGGACAGUGGGAAUCUCGUUCAUCCAUUCAUGCGCGUCACUAAUUAGAUGACGAGGCAUUUGGCUACCUUAAGAGAGUCAUAGUUACUCCCGCCGUUUACCCGCGCUUGUUUGAAUUACUUCACUUUGACAUUCAGAGCACUGGGCAGAAAUCACAUUGUGUCAACACCCUCUGGGGCCAUCACAAUGCUCUGUUUUAAUUAAACAGUCGGAUUCCCCUUGUCCGUUACAGUUCUAAGUUAGCUGUUCGUUGUCCAGGGAGUGCGGCCACCCCGUAGCACACCGCCGGCACACGGCUCGCCCCCAGUAAAGUGAGCGUUCCAUACGCUAGCUGUGGCCCCAGAAUGGAGCCCCUGAACCCAGCCCUUAGAGCCAAUCCUUUUCCCGAAGUUACGGAUCUAUUUUGCCGACUUCCCUUACCUACAUUAUUCUAUCGACCAGAGGCUGCUCACCUUGGAGACCUGAUGCGGUUAUGAGUACGGCCAGGUGUGAGAAUAAACGCCUCCCUUCACUUUUCAAGGGGCGUCGGGAGCGCACCGGACACCUCAAGACGUAAGGUGCUUUGCCGCGCAGCCUACCGUAUCUCCGGUUAACCCGAUUCCACGGUAAAGGCGCACAAUGUCAAGAAGAAAAGACAACUCUUCCCAGGGCUCCCGCCGCCGUCGUGAAGUUCGCUUAUGUUGCCAUGCAUUAUCCACACGCUGGUCCGGGAAUAUUAACCCGGUUCCCUUUCGAUAGGCGGCCUCACGAAUGAGGCCCUUGAAACGGAGUUCCCCUAUCUCUUAGGACCGACUAACCCAUGUCCAAUUGCUGUUCACAUGGAACCUUUCUCCACUUCGGUCUUCAUAGGUCUCAUAUGAAUAUUUGCUACUACCACCAAGAUCUGCACUAGAGACCGUUUCACCCAGACUCACGUCCAAGGCUGCUUCACAAUCUCCACGCCCUCCUACUCGUUGGCGCAUCGCACUCACGCCAACGGUGCUGUCUAGGACGCCGGCUUGAGCGUUAUCCAUUUUCGGGGCUAGUCCAUUCGGCAGGUGAGUUGUUACACACUCCUUAGCGGAUUCCGACUUCCAUGGCCACCGUCCUGCUGUUUGUAUGAACCAACACCCUUUGUGGGGUCUACAUGAGCCGGCAGUUAAACUCCUUAACAGCACUUUCGGUUCAUCCCGCAUCGCCAGUUCUGCUUACCAAAAAUGGCCCACUUGGAGCUCCAAUUCACUGCCCAUGCCCAAUUAAGUGGCAAGGACCUCUUACCUAUUUAAAGUUUGAGAAUAGGUCGAGGAUGUUACACCCCCGAGGCCUCUAAUCAUUCGCUUUACCCGAUAAAACUUGUGCGAGCUCCAGCUAUCCUGAGGGAAACUUCGGAGGGAACCAGCUACUAGAUGGUUCGAUUAGUCUUUCGCCCCUAUACCCAAAUUUGACGAACGAUUUGCACGUCAGUACCGCUACGAGCCUCCACCAGAGUUUCCUCUGGCUUCACCCUAUUCAGGCAUAGUUCACCAUCUUUCGGGUCCCAACAAAUAUGCUCUUACUCAAACCUUUCACAGUAGAUCCUGGUCGGUCGAUGGUGCACCUCAUAAAAGGAUCCCACCUACGUUCACUUUCAUUUUGCAUCCAAGGUUUGCCACCUUACUACUCGCAUACGUGUUAGACUCCUUGGUCCGUGUUCCAGACGGGCUGGUUGAAGCCAUUGUGCCAGCAUCUUCAGAACGCAGGUCCAGCGCUCCACUGUAUCAACCCCAACGCAGAAUCAGAACACCGGAGUGUGCUAACGCUACGCGAAGCGCACAAUGGGCCGGCCGCUAGGCGCGUUCUUGGUGCCUCGGUCCCCCACGGGUCAUGCGCUCAGAGCCAAAGGUUUUUGACGCCUUUGCCCUCUAAGCCUUGUCCCCCACAGAGAACCGAUGCUGGCCAGCGCGACAGCAUGGUAGGGGUUGAAGCAAGCUCCAGCCCUGGUAUCCCGCCGCGCAGGAUAGGCUCCAAUCACUUCUCCUCUCAACAAUUUCAAGCCCUUUUUCACUCUCUUUUCAAAGUUCUUUCCAUCUUUCCUUCACAGUACUUGUUCGCUAUCGGUCUCUCGCCAAUAUUUAGCUUUAGAUGGAGUUUACCACCCGAUUUGGCCUGCAUUCCCAAGCAAGCCGACUCUUUGGAGCACACUUACCACGCACAGCCGACCGAGUCAAAGACGGGGCUCUAACCCUCUCUGGCACCCAGUUCCAAGAACGGAUUUCUACCCGGGGCUGCACAAGUUUGCACCUAUAGACUACAAUUCCGAAGAUUUUAGGCUUGAGCUCUUCCCUGUUCACUCGCCGUUACUAGGGGAAUCCUGGUUAGUUUCUUUUCCUCCGCUUAGUGAUAUGCUUAAGUUCAGCGGGUAGUCUCGCCUGAUUUGAGAAUGAAGCCCGAGGACCGAAGUCACUUUCCAGAUCGGUUUCUUGAGUCUACAUUGGUGCUACCCUUCAUUACUGCAAGUCCACUGGCGCACCAGAAGCUCCAACGCUAAAACAAUGCCGCUCCUCCCCGAAGAGAGAGGCUGGCACAUCGUUUGAGCGCAUAGGCUGGAGCCGCUGUUCAGCGUGCACCGCAAACCUGCAGUAUCAUAUGAUAGCUGCACACCCAAAAUCCCGAGUGCAUUUAGAUUGACGCGAUGCCGGCACCCUACACAAGGUAGGGACACACUUGACCGUGACAACCACUCUCCGCUAAAUGGAUGCAGCCGAGGCUGCACCACAAGCGAUCUCACGUGGAUGGUACCAUUCCUCAAACAGGCGUGCUCAUGGUCACCCAUGAGCGCAAUAUGCGUUCAAAAUUUCGAUGAUUCACUGAGCCCUGCAAUUCACACUAGGUAUCGCAUUUCGCUGCGUUCUUCAUCGUUGCGAGAACCAAGAUAUCCAUUGUUAAGAGUUGUUUUUGGAUUCAAAUCGCAGCGCACGACUGGCGCAGGCUGCUAGACUAAGGUUGACUCAGGUUUGGCGCUGCAAGCCUCAGGAAUUCCAUGCCCAGCAGCACCUCAUUUGGUUGUGACAUAUCCGCACAAGAUACUCAGUGACCCAAGCAACUGGACACUCUGGCUAUCCGCACAAGUUCC
rnacentral:rRNA from 1 species